AGCGAACGCUGGCGGCGUGCCUAACACAUGCAAGUCGAACGUGAAAAGGGAAACCUGAGUAAAGUGGCGUACGGGUGAGUAACGCGUAGGUAAUCUACCCCAGAAUCUGGAAUAACCUGCCGAAAGGCGGGCUAAUACUGGAUAGAGCGAGGGAACUCGUAAGAGAGUUUUUCGGGAAAGGGAGCCCGCAAGGGCCUUCGUUCUGGGAUGAGCCUGCGUCUCAUUAGCUAGUUGGUAAGGUAACGGCUUACCAAGGCGAUGAUGAGUAGCUGGUCUGAGAGGAUGAUCAGCCACACUGGAACUGAAACACGGUCCAGACUCCUACGGGAGGCAGCAGGGGGGAAUCUUGCGCAAUGGACGAAAGUCUGACGCAGCCACGCCGCGUGAGUGAAGAAGGCCUUCGGGUUGUAAAGCUCUGUCGGAUGGGACGAACAUCUUCAUAGUGAAUAGCUAUGAGGACUGACGGUACCAUCAAAGGAAGCACCGGCUAACUCCGUG
rnacentral:rRNA from 1 species